rnacentral:rRNA from 1 species
UACGUAGGGGGCUAGCGUUGUCCGGAUUUGUUGGGCGUAAAGAGCGUGUAGGCGGCCAGGUAGGUCUGCUGUGAAAACUCGAGGCUCAACCUCGAGACGUCGGCGGAAACCAUCUGGCUAGAGUCCGGAAGAGGAGAGUGGAAUUCCUGGUGUAGCGGUGAAAUGCGCAGAUAUCAGGAAGAACACCCGUGGCGAAGGCGGCUCUCUGGGACGGUACUGACGCUGAGACGCGAAAGCGUGGGGAGCGAACAGG